UACGUAGGGGGCAAGCGUUGUCCGGAUUUAUUGGGCGUAAAGAGCGUGUAGGCGGCCAAACAGGUCAGCUGUGAAAACUCGAGGCUCAACCUCGAGACGUCGGUUGAAACCGUUUGGCUAGAGUCCGGAAGAGGAGAGUGGAAUUCCCGGUGUAGCGGUGAAAUGCGCAGAUAUCGGGAAGAACACCCGUGGCGAAGGCGGCUCGCUGGGACGUGACUGACGCUGAGACGCGAAAGCGUGGGGAGCAAACAGG
rnacentral:rRNA from 1 species